CAACAGAAUACAGCAAACAUGGGAACAUAUGGCUUCCACAGCUAGUUUAUAAAGGGACUGGAGUUUUUGCCUUGGUCUUUUGGAUCACUCACAUUGAAGGAAGCCAUCUGCCAUGUCAUAAGGACACACAAGCAAACCUGUGGAGGAUGAAAGGAACACCAGGAGCAGCAUGCCUGGUCACAGGUAGACUCAUCAACCUCAAGCACUCAGUGACAGAUUCAACAAAGUCCUAGAGAAUAAAUAUCCCAAUGCCAAGAGGAUACAUGGAUUUUCCAUGCAACUAACCAAGAUGCUUCUUUGUGCAGGAGGAGGUAGGGGAAGCCCUUGAGAGGAGGAAGAUUACUUCCCGGGACUUCUCAAAAAUGCCCCAAUUCAAAGAAAGACCCAAGGGUCUAGGAUUUAUCAUUCCAGGAUCACUGAAAAGAAGGAAAAGAAUAACAACGUCCAAAUAUUACUAAGGCCUCUAGGAGGGCACCUCUGCU
ensembl:lncRNA